rnacentral:rRNA from 1 species
AACGAACGCUGGCGGCAGGCUUAACACAUGCAAGUCGAGCGCCCCGCAAGGGGAGCGGCAGACGGGUGAGUAACGCGUGGGAACGUACCCUUUGCUACGGAAUAGCUCCGGGAAACUGGAAUUAAUACCGUAUGUGCCCUACGGGGGAAAGAUUUAUCGGCAAAGGAUCGGCCCGCGUUGGAUUAGCUAGUUGGUGGGGUAAUGGCCUACCAAGGCGACGAUCCAUAGCUGGUCUGAGAGGAUGAUCAGCCACAUUGGGACUGAGACACGGCCCAAACUCCUACGGGAGGCAGCAGUGGGGAAUAUUGCACAAUGGGCGAAACCCUGAUCUAGCCAUGCCGCGUGAUCGAUGAAGGCCUUAGGGUUGUAAAGAUCUUUCAGUGGGGAAGAUAAUGACUGUACCCACAGAAGAAGCCCCGGCUAACUCCGUGCCAGCAGCCGCCGUAAGAC